UUUAACAAAAACAUGGCCUUUUGAGUUUAAUUUAAGGUCGGGCCUGCCCCCUGAUGAAAAUUAAAGGGCCGCGGUAUUUUGACCGUGCAAAGGUAGCAUAAUCAUUAGUCUUUUAAUUGAAGGCUGGAAUGAAUGGUUUGACGAAACAUUAACUGUCUCCUUAUAAUUUAUUGAAUUUAACUUUUGAGUCAAAAGGCUUAGAUGGGUGUAAAAGACGAGAAGACCCUAUAGAUCUUUAUACAGAGGCGGGUUUGUCUUGUUUAGAUGUAUUAGUUACAAACUUGUUAUUGUAUUUUGUUGGGGUGACAUGAAGAUAUAACAAACUCUUUACUGUAAGUACAUUGAUUUAUGGAUAAAUGAUCCGUUAGUAGCGAU
rnacentral:rRNA from 1 species